rnacentral:rRNA from 1 species
GACGUAGGGCGCGAGCGUUUGUCCGGAUUUGAUUAGGGCGUAAAGAGCUGCGUAGGCGGCUUGUCGCGUCGUCCGUGAAAACCUGCAGCUCAACUGCAGGGCGUUGCGGGCGAGUACGGGCAGGCUAGAGUUCGGUAGGGGAGACUGGAAUUCCUGGUGUAGCGGUGAAAUGCGCAGAUAUCAGGAGGGAACACCGGUGGGCGAAGGCGGGUCUCUGG